AUACACUUAUUUUCAAUUUAUACAUGUAUUAACGUAUAUGUACAUUGAUCUAUAUACAUUGAUGUAAAUGAUUAUAUAAACACUUAUUUUCGAUUUAUACAUGUAUUAACGUAUAUGUACACUAAUUUAUAUACUACACACACACUUAUACUCACACUCACACUCACAAACAUAAACACAAACACAGUCACAAACAUAUACACUUAUAUGCUCUCGUAUAUGCACCUUUACGCAUUGAUAACGCAUAUAGAUACUUUUUCUCAGUUUUUACAGUUAUUAGCGUAUAUGUACAUCGAUAUGUAUAUGAAUGCACAGGUGGCUGUUGCAGCCAGAAAGGUGAAUUAACCUAGCCCCUUGCUAAUUGUUUAUUAUUUUUCUCUCAAUUCUUUCUAUUCGAAUCAUUAUCUUCCCUUUGAAUGACUUUUCCUUGCAUAUACAAUUUUUCAAAUUGUGAUAAAAUUAGGCAUUAAAGCUGGAGAUUAUUUCAUCUGGCCAGUGUUUCAAAAAGCGUUAGGUGGGUCCUAGGCGGCCUAGGGGGUCCAGGACGCUCAGUGCCUAGGAGGGGGCGCCCAGAACCUAGGCGGCCCAGUCAAAUCCAACAAGGAUGCCCAGUCAAAGAUGCUUUUAAAGACUCAAAAUUUUCUAAAAAACCUCCCAAUAGAUUUAUAAAACAUCAAAACUUAAAUCUAAUAUCAAUGGGUGAUGUUUUGAUCAAUUUUUGUCAACUUAAAAAAAUAAGAAAUUUCCACCUCUGGGCGGGCACUCGGCUAGGUGGGUUCCAUAUCGCCUAAGUUGGGAGCAGGCCUUGGGCUGGGCGUUGGGUGCCUGCCUACGCUAAGCGGUCCGCUUUUUGAAUCACUGCUUCUGGCUAUCACCUAUAAUCAGAUAUGCUGAGGCGAAAUUCCAUAUUACUAUAUAUAGAAUUAAGCAUAAGAAUGGUUUCUUCUCUUGAUGAGUUGGGUAUGCUAAAUACCCAAUUGUGAUAAUCCAUCUAAAUUUUUUUAUCUUAUUUGUACUUGUUCUUAUUAUUAUUGAUGAGCUUAAUCUUCAUCGAGUUUGCUUGUAAUCAACAAGCAUGAAAGAAACUUAUCAUCGACGCGGAUCUCUUUACCUUGUAGAUACUUAUUAGCAGUUUAUAUAUAAUAUAUACAGUGUGUAUAUAUAUGAUAUGUAUAUACUGAUAUGUUUAUGCGUGUAUAUAUAAACUUUCUAGCAGUUAUAUAUACACUGAUAUACACACGCAGAUACACCCUUUCGCGUUGAUAGUUCAUAGAUACAUUUCUAUAUACACUGAUAUAUAUGACCAUAUAGACACCUAUUAUCACUUUAUGCAGUUAUUAGCGUAUAUGUACACUGAUAUGUAUAUGCAAUUUUUGUAUACGUAUUGAUGCAUAAUAAUAUAUACCAUUAUUUUCAGUGUAUAUAUAUAUACUGAUGCAUAGUACUAUACAUUAGUUAUCAGCUAUAUAUACAGUUAUUAGUUUUUAAAAAAUACAUUGAUAUGUGUGUGUGUGAUAUCUGUAUAUAUACGAUAUGUAUAUACUGAUGUGUAUGUAUAAAGUUCAUUACUGUAUGUAUAUAGUGCAUUAAUAUAUACGUUUCUUUAUACAUUGAUGUAUAUGACCAGAUAUACACUUAUAUAGUAUAUAUACUUAUUAUUAGUUUAUAUAGUAUAUAUACUUAUUAUUAGUUUAUAUAGUAAUAAGCCGAGGCAAAAUUUCAUAUUUCUUUACAUAGAAUUCAGCAUAAGAAUGGGCUUCUUCUCUUGAUGAAUUGGGUACGCUAAGUACCCAAUUAUGAUAGACUAUCUUAUACAUUAUACAUAUGUGUUUGAGUGUGUGUAUAUAUAUAUCAGUGUACAUACAAGUUAAUAACUGAUAAACUGUUAAUAAGUGUUUAUAUGCUCAUAUAUAUCAGUGUAUACGUAAUAUAUGUAUGAACUUAUCAAUACAUAAGGAUGCAUAUGCGUGUGCAUAUCAGGGUAUAUGUAACAGAUAACAAGUGUAUACAUACACGCAUAAAUAUAUCGAUAUAUACAUAUCGUAUAUAUAAAUACUAUAUAUGUUAAUGACAGUAAGUGUUUACAUACACGCAUGAAUGUAUCAGUAUAUAUAUAUAGUAUAUUAAACACUGUAUAUAUAUACAUAUAAACUGCUAAUAAGUAUCUAUAUUAUCAUAUAUAUCAGUGUAUAUAAAAUGCAUGUAUAUACAUACUUACAUACACAAUAUAUAUUUACUAAUCAACGCGUAAGGGUGCAUCUACGUGCGCAUAUCAGUAUAUAUAUAUACAUGUAUAAUUGUAUAUAACUGAUAGCGAGCAAGUGUAUAUGUACACGCAUAAAUAUAUAGUAAAUAUACCCACAUCAGUCCAUACACAUGCAUAUAUGUGUAGUAUAUAUAUAAAUGUGUGUGUGUAGUAUAU
rnacentral:lncRNA from 1 species